rnacentral:lncRNA from 1 species
GGACUGAGGAAGAAGAGGGGAUUUGGCCAGGAGCAGAGGGUAGGAGACGGACCACCCUGGAAACAUGGCAUUCUCCCCCAGGAGCCUGUGUGUGGAUGUGGCUGUUAGCAUCAGAGGCUGCAUGUCCACCCCACCUCACCCCAAGUCGCCCUUUACCUGCUAUGAGGGAACUGGAAGCUGCAAGCAUCCUCAGCUGACAACUGCACCUCCGCGAAUGGCUGGGUCUCUGUAGUAAAACUGCGUGCGGUAAGUGAGGGGCCUGAGACACAUUUUCCCCUUCCCUGGGACACAACUGACCUCGAGGACACAUGUGUUGCCUCCUCAGCUGCCAUAUGUGCAGGCCGAGCUGGA